rnacentral:siRNA from 1 species
ACAGGGACCAGUUUACAUCACCGA